rnacentral:misc_RNA from 1 species
GGCAGAGAGAGAGAGAGUCAUAACAGGUAUCAGAAGGAAGGAAACCUUCAACUUAUUGGCACAUUUUGCAAAAUUAAAGCACAUUUAGGGCUAAUCUGAAACACAAGGAGCGUAAACAAAUAGGAUAGACAUGAAGUGAGAUAUGUGAAUAUCGAACCAAGGCAGGGUUUUUCCUUCACGCAUGAAGUUAAUCCUCUUUGUUUCCUCACGAUUGCAGGACUAGGAAGUAAGAGUUAGAUUUUUCCUGUCGCUUAAUCAAAACUACUUGCGUACUUAGCUUAAUUUAGAAGAAAAACGCCCUCCACCAUGUAUAAACACAAACCAAAAUAGCUUAACUUUUGCGUGCUACAUUUCCAACAACCAGUUUACAUUAUCAUGUCAGCAUCAAAAAAAAUCCGAACCCAACAACCAUGCAUGAUUUAGUAGCUUAACAUAACAGGAAGCCAGUUAGCUAGCAUUCUCUAUUUUCCAAGACAAGCUGGAGAGCUCGUGUACCGUCCAGCAAGUUUGAUUGCAAAG